GACCCGCACGCCGGCCCCGCCUCCCGGACUUCGCGCCGCGGCCGAGGCCCCCGCCCGGAGCCCCGUAAGUACACCUGGGCCCCGCCCCGAGGCUGUCACGUGACCAUUCCCAACCCAGCCCAUUGGCCGGCGGGCCCUUUCCCCUCCCCCCUCCGCCCCUUUCCACCGGCCGCGGGAAAUCAAACGGGCUAGUUGCGCCCCAACCGCCACCUGGCGUCUGCGCGAAGGGCGGGGCGGCGGGCGCAUCGCCAAGGUUGCCCCUGACGACAGAGGCGGGGGCUGGAGCCGGCAGCCUAGGUUCUGGCUGUGAGCGCAGCACUCACCUCCACCCUCGGGACCGCCCUUACCCGUACUGCCGGGUGUGGACGCCUCCUUCCCAGUACCCCGCCAUCCCUCUCCCUGCAGGAUGCACCGCACGCCCGGGGCUGCGGUGUGCGUCUGCGGAGCAAGCUGGAAGGCGCGGCAGAACGACUUUCCCAGCUCACGGUUGCUCUCACAAGCUGGGCCUCUCACUUUUGUUUUUGAGCUGAACUACAUAUAGCAAUAUGCACCACUCUUUGCUGAGUUUUGAUAAAUGUGUCCAUCCAUGUAGUCAACAUCCUAAUCAGGGUAUUUUUCCCUCGCCCGAGAAAUUUCUCUGGAGCCCCUUCCAGGCAAUCCCAGCCUCCCCGAGACCACCGCUGUUCUGAUGUCUACCACGGUGGAUUAAUUUCAGGGUCCACCGUGGGCUCGGCCUGGCGGGGGCCUCCCUCUCCGGCUUUCUGCCCUCUCCCUGGCCACUGCCCUCCGCCGCCUUUCAUUUCUCCAACUGGCUAGGCUCUGCGGACUCAAGGCCUUCCCCCAGGCAGUUUCCACUGCCUCGAACGUGUCCUCCGUGUCUCUCAGGGUGAAUUCUUCUAGUACCAGCUUACAUAUCACUCCUCAGUAUCACAUCAUCUUUUAUUUUUCUCAUGGCAUUUUUGAAAAUAUGGACGUAUCCUGUUCAUUUGCUUCUUUAUUCUAUUCCUCCUCCCGCCCCGUCCCCUGGACAACGCUAGACCGUGAACUCCACAGCAAUAAGAGCCUGGUAGUUGUGCCUGACACCUGGAGCAGUGCCUGGCGCAACAUGGGCGCUCAAUAUUUCUUGAAUAAAUGAAUGGUCCCCAUUCCACAGAUGAGAAGACUGUGGUCCGGUGCGAGGCUUGCGCCAGAUUUCGCGGGAACCCGGAAGGUCCGGCCCUGGAGCAGCAAUCUCCCUUCCAAAGUAAUGAGGCUCCAGAAGUCGCUCCUUCCGAGAGGCGCCUCCCCGACCCAGGGAGGACGCGGCCGGCGCUAGGCAGCGCGUAUUUUUAGCCGGGACAGCGCGCUCCGGGGCAGCACUCGUGCCUUCACGCGCUGCUCUGCCCCACGUGCGCUUCCCGAGUCCUGGUGUCCCGGCCAGGCCCUGCGUCGGCUCCCCAACUGCGGCCGCCGCCAAUCCAGGUCCCGGCGCGCCCUCUGCCGGCCACUCUCGGAGGCCGCCGGCACCGGUUUGCUCGCGGUCCUUCCACCAGCUACCCCGCCCGCCCCACCCCUCCUUGCUCUUUCGGAGUUGAGGAUUCUGUUUCCCUGGGUAUCCGACACAGUGGACUGAAAAAGAGAAAAGAUGAAAAAACAACUAAAUCACAAGGCGAAGCCGUGAAGGACACAGACAGUACUACCCUCCCUUAGGACCAAUUUACCUGUGCCCAGCCCUGAACUCAAGGAAUGCGAGCAGCACAAGACCAAGGCUGGAGGAAAGCAAGCAAGAAUCCUCUCAGUGACCCCGGCCACAGAAGAAUCUCAUGGAAGGUCUAUAAGGAGAAAUGCAUGAGAAUGUGAAGGUGGGAAGUUAGAGGCAGCCAGGGCCUCCAUCACUGGGAGCGUGACGGAGGAAAUGUGCUCAGUCUGGGGAGCCAAGGUAGCGCCUGAGAUGGACUGCCCAGAGGAAGUACCGGGCUGACUUGGAGGACUCCUUCUCCCUUCAGGGGUGGCAGGAGGGGAGACGCCCUCCUCUCCACACAGGUCUCAGGUAAGGGACAAGUGGCGCAGACAACAACUGGUUUGUCCUCAACUCCAGUCUUACCUACCUUCCCAAGCCCAGCUCUGCCGUGAGACUAGUGUGCACAGCCCAUCCAACUCUGAGCAGACUCCACAAGAAUCUCAGAAUCCCAGAACCUUAAGAGGAUUGCCUAAUUCCUGUAUUACUGCAUUUAUCUUCAGGAGUGACUUGGUUAAUACAUGUCCGCCAGCCACACAAACUGAAGGCACCUUUGACCUACCCUUUGACUUCAUCUUCCUCAUUCAAUUAAUCACCAAGUUUCAUCAAUUAAAUCUCCAA